ACGAACGCUGGCGGCGUGCCUAAUACAUGCAAGUAGCACGCUGAAGGAGGAGCUUGCUUCUCUGGAUGAGUUGCGAACGGGUGAGUAACGCGUAGGUAACCUGCCUGGUAGCGGGGGAUAACUAUUGGAAACGAUAGCUAAUACCGCAUAAGAGUAGAUGUUGCAUGACAUUUGCUUAAAAGGUGCAAUUGCAUCACUACCAGAUGGACCUGCGUUGUAUUAGCUAGUUGGUGGGGUAACGGCUUACCAAGGCGACGAUACAUAGCCGACCUGAGAGGGUGAUCGGCCACACUGGGACUGAGACACGGCCCAGACUCCUACGGGAGGCAGCAGUAGGGAAUCUUCGGCAAUGGACGGAAGUCUGACCGAGCAACGCCGUGUGAGUGAAGAAGGUUUUCGGAUCGUAAAGCUCUGUUGUAAGAGAAGAACGAGUGUGAGAGUGGAAAGUUCACACUGUGACGGUAUCUUACCAGAAAGGGACGGCUAACUACGUG
rnacentral:rRNA from 1 species